ensembl:lncRNA
UGAAGGCUCUAUCCUUAUCUAAAAUCUAGGUGAGACAACUUCAAAAUAGUAAUUUAAACCAGAGUCUGUGUGUACAUGAGACAAAGUUAAGUUUCAUAAUGACAGAAUACUUUUAAUGGCAGAACUGUCUGUUUUUACCACAUGGCUAUUUGCAAUAAUGACUUUACUUCUUCCCUCCUUGCAUGGGCCUAGGUGCCACCAUGCUACUAGUUGUGACUAGUGUGAUAGAAGUUGAAGUGGUGUGUGCAGCACUGGGGACAGUCUUCUAAGGAAAUGACUCACCAUUCUUGUACUUCCCCCUGUUGGUUGAAAUCAGACCUGCCAUGCCAGGCUCCAAAAGGAAGGCAGAACCCAAGUGAAGGAGCAGGGUUCUUGAUACUGAAAUACCACAAUCAGCCCCAGAUUUCCAAGAAGAGAGAGAGAGAGAGAGAGAGAGAGAGAGAGAGAGAGAGAGAGAGAGAGAGAGACCAAGGAUAAGCCACCAUCAUCAGAAGUUGUGUUGAUACUCAGCCAGCAUCACUCCUGCUUAGUGUGGGUAUAUUUUUAUUCUCUUGGCUGCUGUGAAAAUCUGGCCCACCAAUGAAUUGAAACCACAUUCAAUAGUUUAUCAUCCUGGAAGACAGAAGUCCAAAAUGGAUGCCACAAGGCUAAAUUAUUCUUUAUUGACGUUUUGGCAGGAUUGGGGGAAUCAGAAAGUUUUAGGGGAGAACAUUUCUUUGUCUUGUCCAGCUUUGAAGGCCACUCAUAGUCCUUAGCUGGCAGGCCUCUUUCUCUGUCUCCAGACUCACCAACAUCUGCAGAGCCUUGUUCCAAUGACCUGCUCACUGGUCCUCUGUUCUGCUCAUCUAACCCACAAGGUGGAUGUUUCUGUGAUGAACUUAGCCCUGCCUGAAUCAUUCCAGCUGCCUCCCUACUUUAAGAUUAUCUGACGUUGGUGAAACACUGAAGUAGGCAACUCUAGGGGUCUCGUGACCCUGAAUAUGUGCCGCGGAGAAGAAACUGCUCACAUUCAAGACUGUGGAAAUACAAGAAGCAAAAAUGUGCAACAGAAUGUUCAACAUUGCCCAGGGCUUGCUUCCCCAACAGCACCCCAUUGUCCUGGAAAGUCAGGCUCCUGUAUUUGAUACCAGUGGAAGCUGAGCUGGAGAACAGCUAGGCAGAAGGAGAGCACAGCACUCCCAUCAUGCAUUCUGACUCCCAUUGUCCCUAAGACUCACUUUAAAGAUGAAGAACUGACCAGAUCAGCCAGAUCGAAAGCAGAUGGAAGAGCUAGAUGUGGCCAGCACACGGGAAGGGUAAAACAGAAGCACAGGGACAAAUUCAAGGACAACCUGGUCUAUCUACAUAAUGAGUUCCAGGACUGUACAGGGAGAUCCUGCCUCAAAAACAAAACAACAACCACCAAAAAGAAAGCAAACAUCAUCAUCAUCAACAACAACAAAGCCCAUGCUUAGACUGUCUCCAUGCACCCGCUUUGGAUUCUCAGACUCGGUGAGGCAGUCGUUUUCUGUUCUUAUUUUAUCACUGAGGAAGCCAGGUCAUUUAAGCCAU